UACGUAGGGGGCUAGCGUUGUCCGGAUUUAUUGGGCGUAAAGAGCGUGUAGGCGGCCAGAUAGGUCCGUUGUGAAAACUGGAGGCUUAACCUCCAGCUGUCGAUGGAAACCAUCUGGCUAGAGUCCGGAAGAGGAGAGUGGAAUUCCUGGUGUAGCGGUGAAAUGCGCAGAUAUCGAGAGGAACACCGGUGGCGAAGGCGGCCUUCUGGACAGUGACUGACGCUGAGACGCGAAAGCGUGGGGAGCAAACAGG
rnacentral:rRNA from 1 species